rnacentral:tRNA from 1 species
AUAAAUAUAGUUUAAGGAAAGCAAUUCAUUUACAUUGAAUAGAUUUUGUGCAAUUCAAAUAUUUUUU